AUAAUACUCCAUAGAUCAUGGGAUCUGGAAUGACCCAUGGUUGAAAGUUCCGGCGCUUAAGGAUCGCUCUGCGGCUUAUCAGGUUGUAGUGGGUGUAACGUACCCCCUAGCCAGUGACGAGUAUGGGCCUUGAGAGAGGGAGCCCAGAGUUGGAUUCUGAGACACGAAUCCAGGCCCUACGGGGCGCAGCAGUCGCGAAAACUUCACACUGGGGGCAACCCCGAUGAGGGAAUUCCUAGUGCUAGGACAUUUGUUCUAGCUUUUCUCUAGCGUAGAUAACUAGAGGAAUAAGGGCUGGGUAAGACGGGUGCCAGCCGCCGCGGUAAUACCUGCAGCCCAAGUGGUGGUCGAUUUUAUUGAGUCUAAAGCGUUCGUAGCCGGUUUGAUAAAUCCUUGGGUAAAUCGGGAAGCUUAACUUUCCGACUUCUGAGGAGACUGUCAAACUUGGGACCGGGAGAGGCUAGAGGUACUUCUGGGGUAGGGGUAAAAUCCUGUAAUCCUAGAAGGACCACCGGUGGCGAAGGCGUCUAGCUAGAACGGAUCCGACGGUGAGGGACGAAGCCCUGGGUCGCAAACGGGAUUAGAUACCCCGGUAGUCCAGGGUGUAAACGCUGCCGACUUGGUGU
rnacentral:rRNA from 1 species